ACACAAGUUAUGGACAUGACAGUUUCAUAGUUUAAAAAUUAAAGUCACGCAAUUUAUGGACAUGACAGUCACUUAUGUUAUGGACAAAUAAGUCACACAACUUAUGGACAUGACAGUCACACAAGUUAUGGACAUUCCAGUUAAUUAGAUUAUUAAUAUUAAAGUCACGCAAUUUAUGGACAUGACAGUCACUUAUGUUAUGGACAAUUAAGUCACACAACUUACGGACAUGACAGUCACACAAGUUAUUGACAUGACAGUUACUUAGAUUAUUGACAUUAAAGUCUCACAAUUUAUGGACUUGGCAGUCACUAAGGUUAUGGACAGUUAAGUCACAUAAAUUUUGGACAUUAUAGUCACACAAGUUAUGGACAUGACAGUUGCUAGAUUGUUAUUAAAGACACAUUAGCAAUAGGGAUAAAAAAUGCACUAGUGAUGUAGUUCAUAUACACAAAUCAUGCCUAUUAAUGACACAAAAAGUCAUAUAAUCAAAUAUAAAAACAAAUUCAUUUCAGUGGCUUUACAGAAACAACCAAAGAACUUGGAGGCCUUCUUAAAUGAUGGAGAGUUUGCACUGAAGGAGGGGUUCUUAAAGGAUGUAGGUCAAGAUACAUCACCCACAGCCAGUAAAUAGGUGUUCUCAUCAUCAGGUCAAGAUACAUCGCCCACAGCUGGUCAAGAGGUGUGCUCAUCAGGAGGUCAAGAUUCAUCACCCACAGCCAGUCAAGAGGUUCGGUCUUCAGCACGUAAAGAAACAUCACCCACAGUCAGUCAAGAGGUUUGGCCAUCAGAACGUCAAGAUACAUUACCCACAGCCAGUCAAGAGGUUUGCUCAUCGGCAGGUCAAGAUACAUCACCCACAGCUAGUCAAGAGGUUUGGCCAUCAGCACAUAAAGAUACAUCCCCUACAGCCAGUCAAGAGGUUUGCUCAUCAGAACGUCAAGAUACAUCACACACAGUCAGUUAGGAGGUGAACCUUAGGAAACAACUGCAACAUUGAGCCAGGUGAUAAACUUGAAACCAAACAAGCUACAAGGGCUGUGUAGCCACCUGGGUCAUACAACGAGAGUGCGCUUGGACCACUACAGGCAAAUGUCUGGCUUCAUUGAAAGAGUCAAAAUCAGCAAAGUAUUGCUGAUGCAAGACAUGGACCUUACAGAAAAGUUUGUAGGAAAGAGCCUUGAUGAAAUUUGGCGCAUUCCUUUUGAAGACAUUUUAACACCUGGUCCAGAGACAUGUUGUAAUGAAAAUAGAG